rnacentral:lncRNA from 1 species
CGCGACGAGAUAAGUGAACUGUUCCGAUUUCUUUUUCUCCUUUCUCUCCUCCACACGAUCUGUUUCAAUUUGGGGCUCCAAUUUGCCACCCUCCACCACAAAACAUGCAGACCGUCAGGCUGGGGUUUCUUCGUAAUCAAAGAAUUGUUGUGUCCAAUUUGCGAAUUGAAAGAGAAAAAUAGCCAAAUAGGUGCGACACUGGAGAUGGGUUUUGCACCCAUAAAUGGAUUCCGGCCCAAACGGAAAGACCCUAAAUUGGAGACAACGACAAUUCCGGC